rnacentral:misc_RNA from 1 species
GUGAAUCAUCGAAUUUUUGAACGCAAAUUGCGCCUUUUUCGGAAGGCAUGGCUGUUUGAGGGCACCAUUUAACAAAUAAUGUGCAUUUCGUGUGCACACGUUGAUGAGCUUUCCGAAUUUAUGUAUUAUUUUUUGUCGCGCAUAAUAAACAGCGCGAUGCUUUUUUUCAGUUCGGGUGUAGUAAAAUUUUUUCUUGCUUGGGUUGUGAAAAGUGUGAUCGCGCAAUGUGUGCGGCAAUUUUAGAUAAUCCCUGCCCUAACUCCACUCGUUCUCGCAAAA